rnacentral:rRNA from 1 species
GGAAGUAAAAGUCGUAACAAGGUUUCCGUAGGUGAACCUGCGGAAGGAUCAUUGUCGAUAUCUUAAAAGUAGACCUGUGAACACGUGUUUAACAUGAACGGCGCUUCGUCAUGCUAGAGCAAUCUUGCUUGGCGGGGUGCUGUGCUUGCCCGGUGCUCGCACUAGGUGGGCUAACGAAUCCCGGCGCGGCAAGCGCCAAGGAAAACAAAAAAUAGAAUCGUUGCCCCUUUGGCUCCCGUCCGCGGUGUGGCCAUGGGGAUGCAGCGUAUCUUGAAAGUCUAAACGACUCUCGGCAACGGAUAUCUCGGCUCUCGCAUCGAUGAAGAACGUAGCGAAAUGCGAUACUUGGUGUGAAUUGCAGAAUCCCGUGAACCAUCGAGUCUUUGAACGCAAGUUGCGCCCGACGCCUUCGGGCUGAGGGCACGCCUGCCUGGGCGUCACGCAUCGCGUCGUCCCCUCCCAUUCCCUCACGGGUUUGGUUAUGGGACGGAUAAUGGCUUCCCGUUAGCUCGGUUAGCCUAAAAAGGAUCCCUCAUCGACGGAUGUCACAACCAGUGGUGGUUGAAAGAUCAUUGGUGUUGUUGUGCUUCACCCUGUCGCUUGCUAGGGCAUCGUCAUAAACUAACGGCGGGUAAUGCGCCUUCGACCGCGACCCCAGGUCAGACGGGACUACCCGCUGAGUUUAAGCAUAUCAAUAAGCGGAGGA